rnacentral:rRNA from 1 species
CAAAACAAAAAAAAGUUAAAACUUUCAACAACGGAUCUCUUGGUUCCCACAUCGAUGAAGAACGCAGCGAAAUGCGAUAAGUAAUGUGAAUUGCAGAAUUCAGUGAAUCAUCGAAUCUUUGAACGCACAUUGCGCCCUCUGGUAUUCCGGAGGGCAUGCCUGUUCGAGCGUCAUAAAUACC